UAUUGCACAAUGGGCGCAAGCCUGAUGCAGCAACGCCGCGUGAGGGAUGACGGCCUUCGGGUUGUAAACCUCUUUUAGCAGGGAAGAAGCGAGAGUGACGGUACCUGCAGAAAAAGCACCGGCUAACUACGUGCCAGCAGCCGCGGUAAUACGUAGGGUGCAAGCGUUAUCCGGAAUUAUUGGGCGUAAAGAGCUCGUAGGCGGUUUGUCGCGUCUGCUGUGAAAUUCCGAGGCUCAACCUCGGGCUUGCAGUGGGUGCGGGCAGACUAGAGUGCGGUAGGGGAGAUUGGAAUUCCUGGUGUAGCGGUGGAAUGCGCAGAUAUCAGGAGGAACACCGAUGGCGAAGGCAGAUCUCUGGCUCGGUACUGACGCUGAGGCGCGAAAGCGUGGGGAGCAAACAG
rnacentral:rRNA from 1 species